ACAACGCUGGCGGCGUGCCUAACACAUGCAAGUCGAACGGUCUUUAACUGACCUAAUCUUCGGAAGCGGACAGCUAAAGAUAGGUGGCGGACGGGUGAGUAACGCGUGGGCAAUCUGCCCUUUAGACUGGGAUAACACCGGGAAACUGGUGCUAAUAACCGGAUAAGUUCUAACUGAGGCAUCUCAGAUAGAAGAAAGGAGGCUCCUAAGGAGCUCCCGCUAAAGGAUGAGCCCGCGUCCCAUUAGCUAGUUGGUGAGGUAACGGCUCACCAAGGCGACGAUGGGUAGCCGGCCUGAGAGGGUGGUCGGCCACACUGGGACUGAGACACGGCCCAGACUCCUACGGGAGGCAGCAGUGGGGAAUAUUGCGCAAUGGGCGAAAGCCUGACGCAGCAACGCCGCGUGAGCGAUGAAGGCCUUCGGGUUGUAAAGCUCUGUCAUUAGGGACGAAGUCUUGGAUACGAAUAGUGUCCAAGGUGACGGUACUUAAGGAGGAAGCCCCGGCUAACUACGUG
rnacentral:rRNA from 1 species